AUCAGAUCUGGAUGUGGGGAGUGUGGAACCCAGAUAUUCAGAGGGAGAUGAUGCGACAUCUGGUCCAGCUGAUGGAAGGUCUUGAAGUUCUCUGACUGGCCUCGACUGAAGAUGGUCGUCUCACUGGAUUUAAGGUUCAGAUGCUCAGUAACAAACUCCACCAAUGAGCCAACAGGGAAGCUUUAGGUUUAUUAAAUGUUGCUAUGAAGGUAUCGCUGUUUUUCUUUGUGAAUGCAAUGUGCUCCAACUGAAACUUGAAUUAGAACUUAGAAGUAAAUCCUUCCAUAUGAAAGGAUUUAGUUGCAUUAAUAACCUGAUAACAUUCUAAUUUUUAUUCCAGUCUUGGUUGGAAAUAGAAUCUCUGUAUUAAUUCAGGUAAAAACUGAACUUCACAGCAUGUUGGAGCAAAACAACCAGAUGAAAACUGUGAUGGUGUUGGAUUGUCAGACCGUAAUGUUGCAGCUCAAAGCAGCUUUUCUAUCUCAGUUCAUUCUGACAUUCAGCUAUGAAUCAACACAGCAGAUGGUGAUCCAUGCUGUGGAAGUCUCACAUCUCCUGAUUUAAUGGAGCUGCUUUGUACUUUUUACACUGUUUAUUCACCAACACUUUAUUUAAUAAAAGUCCCAUCUAGUUUUUAUGAGGAAUGUGAUGUUUUAAUUUCUCUGUGAAUAACUGCAGUCUAAUGCAACAGCUGGAAUUGUAACAUCUGUCCUGAUAUUGAUCAUGAAGUAUUGAUCAGAAUACUUA
ensembl:lncRNA